rnacentral:rRNA from 1 species
CUGAGUACGACGGAGCACGUGAAAUUCCGUCGGAAUCUGGGAGGACCAUCUCCUAAGGCUAAAUACUCUCUAGUGACCGAUAGUGAACCAGUACCGUGAGGGAAAGGUGAAAAGCACCCCGGAAGGGGAGUGAAAUAGAACCUGAAACCGUGUGCUUACAAGUAGUCAGAGCCCGUUAAUGGGUGAUGGCGUGCCUUUUGUAGAAUGAACCGGCGAGUUACGAUUUGAUGCAAGGUUAAGCAGUAAAUGUGGAGCCGUAGCGAAAGCGAGUCUGAAUAGGGCGUUUAGUAUUUGGUCGUAGACCCGAAACCAGGUGAUCUACCCUUGGUCAGGUUGAAGUUCAGGUAACACUGAAUGGAGGACCGAACCGACUUACGUUGAAAAGUGAGCGGAUGAACUGAGGGUAGCGGAGAAAUUCCAAUCGAACCUGGAGAUAGCUGGUUCUCUCCGAAAUAGCUUUAGGGCUAGCCUCAAGUGAUGAUUAUUGGAGGUAGAGCACUGUUUGGACGAGGGGCCCCUCUCGGGUUACCGAAUUCAGACAAACUCCGAAUGCCAAUUAAUUUAACUUGGGAGUCAGAACAUGGGUGAUAAGGUCCGUGUUCGAAAGGGAAACAGCCCAGACCACCAGCUAAGGUCCCAAAAUAUAUGUUAAGUGGAAAAGGAUGUGGCGUUGCCCAGACAACUAGGAUGUUGGCUUAGAAGCAGCCAUCAUUUAAAGAGUGCGUAAUAGCUCACUAGUCGAGUGACACUGCGCCGAAAAUGUACCGGGGCUAAACAUAUUACCGAAGCUGUGGAUUGUCCUUUGGACAAUGGUAGGAGAGCGUUCUAAGGGCGUUGAAGCAUGAUCGUAAGGACAUGUGGAGCGCUUAGAAGUGAGAAUGCCGGUGUGAGUAGCGAAAGACGGGUGAGAAUCCCGUCCACCGAUUGACUAAGGUUUCCAGAGGAAGGCUCGUCCGCUCUGGGUUAGUCGGGUCCUAAGCUGAGGCCGACAGGCGUAGGCGAUGGAUAACAGGUUGAUAUUCCUGUACCACCUAUAAUCGUUUUAAUCGAUGGGGGGACGCAGUAGGAUAGGCGAAGCGUGCGAUUGGAUUGCACGUCUAAGCAGUAAGGCUGAGUAUUAGGCAAAUCCGGUACUCGUUAAGGCUGAGCUGUGAUGGGGAGAAGACAUUGUGUCUUCGAGUCGUUGAUUUCACACUGCCGAGAAAAGCCUCUAGAUAGAAAAUAGGUGCCCGUACCGCAAACCGACACAGGUAGUCAAGAUGAGAAUUCUAAGGUGAGCGAGCGAACUCUCGUUAAGGAACUCGGCAAAAUGACCCCGUAACUUCGGGAGAAGGGGUGCUCUUUAGGGUUAACGCCCAGAAGAGCCGCAGUGAAUAGGCCCAAGCGACUGUUUAUCAAAAACACAGGUCUCUGCUAAACCGUAAGGUGAUGUAUAGGGGCUGACGCCUGCCCGGUGCUGGAAGGUUAAGAGGAGUGGUUAGCUUCUGCGAAGCUACGAAUCGAAGCCCCAGUAAACGGCGGCCGUAACUAUAACGGUCCUAAGGUAGCGAAAUUCCUUGUCGGGUAAGUUCCGACCCGCACGAAAGGCGUAACGAUUUGGGCACUGUCUCAACGAGAGACUCGGUGAAAUCAUAGUACCUGUGAAGAUGCAGGUUACCCGCGACAGGACGGAAAGACCCCGUGGAGCUUUACUGUAGCCUGAUAUUGAAAUUCGGCACAGCUUGUACAGGAUAGGUAGGAGCCUUUGAAACGUGAGCGCUAGCUUACGUGGAGGCGCUGGUGGGAUACUACCCUAGCUGUGUUGGCUUUCUAACCCGCACCACUUAUCGUGGUGGGAGACAGUGUCAGGCGGGCAGUUUGACUGGGGCGGUCGCCUCCUAAAAGGUAACGGAGGCGCUCAAAGGUUCCCUCAGAAUGGUUGGAAAUCAUUCAUAGAGUGUAAAGGCAUAAGGGAGCUUGACUGCGAGACCUACAAGUCGAGCAGGGUCGAAAGACGGACUUAGUGAUCCGGUGGUUCCGCAUGGAAGGGCCAUCGCUCAACGGAUAAAAGCUACCCCGGGGAUAACAGGCUUAUCUCCCCCAAGAGUUCACAUCGACGGGGAGGUUUGGCACCUCGAUGUCGGCUCAUCGCAUCCUGGGGCUGUAGUCGGUCCCAAGGGUUGGGCUGUUCGCCCAUUAAAGCGGUACGCGAGCUGGGUUCAGAACGUCGUGAGACAGUUCGGUCCCUAUCCGUCGUGGGCGUAGGAAAUUUGAGAGGAGCUGUCCUUAGUACGAGAGGACCGGGAUGGACAUACCUCUGGUGUACCAGUUGUCGUGCCAACGGCAUAGCUGGGUAGCUAUGUGUGGACGGGAUAAGUGCUGAAAGCAUCUAAGCAUGAAGCCCCCCUCAAGAUGAGAUUUCCCAACUUCGGUUAUAAGAUCCCUCAAAGAUGAUGAGGUUAAUAGGUUCGAGGUGGAAGCAUGGUGACAUGUGGAGCUGACGAAUACUAAUCGAUCGAAGACUUAAUCAA